UACGUAGGGUGCAAGCGUUGUCCGGAUUCAUUGGGCGUAAAGAGCUCGUAGGCGGCUUAGUAAGUCAGGUGUGAAACCUCCAGGCUCAACCUGGAGACGCCACUUGAUACUGCUAUGGCUUGAGUUUGGUAGGGGUAAGCGGAAUUCCUGGUGUAGCGGUGAAAUGCGCAGAUAUCAGGAGGAACACCGAUGGCGAAGGCAGCUUACUGGGCCAAAACUGACGCUGAGGAGCGAGAGCGUGGGGAGCGAACAGG
rnacentral:rRNA from 1 species